UGUUCGUCUACAACUGCAACCCGGCGGCGACGAUGCCCGACCAGACACGCGUGCUCAAGGGGCUGGCCCGCGAAGACCUCUUCACGGUGGUCUUCGAGCAGGUGAUGACGGACACGGCGCUGUUGGCCGACGUAGUGCUUCCGGCGACGACGUUUCUCGAGGGCUACGACUUCUCCCGCGCUUACGGCCCCAUCAGCCUGCAGCUCUCCAAGCCCGUGAUCGAUCCGGUGGCCGAAGCGCGCUCGAACGCGGACGUCUUCGCCGACCUUGGCAGCCGCCUGGGGCUCUGGGAUGACGACGAGCCGCGGUCGGAGCUCGACACGCUCCUCACGAUUCUGAGCGAGUUGCCGCCCGAGUUUGGCUCGCCGCUACGCGACACCGGCGUGGCCACGCCGCCCUGGGAGGGCGCGCCCGUGCAAUUUGUGGAUGUCUUCCCGCGCACGCCCGAUCAAAAGUGCACUUGUGCCCUGCCGCGCUUGACCAGGAAGCGCCGCUUGGCCUUUAUGGUUAUCAGGCUGACCCGGGGAGUA
rnacentral:misc_RNA from 1 species